UACGGGGGGGGCAAGCGUUGUUCGGAAUUACUGGGCGUAAAGGGCUCGUAGGUGGCCAACUAAGUCAUACGUGAAAUCCCUCGGCUUAACCGGGGAACUGCGUCUGAUACUGGAUGGCUUGAGUUUGGGAGAGGGACGCGGAAUUCCAGGUGUAGCGGUGAAAUGCGUAGAUAUCUGGAGGAACACCGGUGGCGAAGGCGGCUCACUGGACCGGUUCUGACGCUGAUGCGCGAAAGCGUGGGGAGCAAACGGG
rnacentral:rRNA from 1 species